GAGCAAGCAAGGAACUCAUCUCCUAGCAGUGUUAGCAUUAACAAGUAUGUGAGCACUCUUGUCAUCAUUUUAAAUGCCAUAUUUGCAUAUAAUAUUGAGCAUUAAAUCAUUGCUCAUUUGUAUGUUGUAGUAUGGGAUAGCCCAGGAAAGGUACAAACAAAUGCCGAGGGUGAAGGGGAAAGCAUUUGGCCUCUGGCCUCGUUGAAAAGAAUUAGAGGGCAAUUUGAAGAGGAAAUAGAGGAAUGAGGAGGCUCCAGCGUUCAAACAAAUGAGUCAAUCCAUUGACGCCAUUUUGUUGGAAAGCCUUUCAUUUGCAUAUAUUGUUGCAAGAAUGGCCAUUUAAAUUUGUUGUAGGCCUUUCCAAAAUCUACUUUGAAGAUAGCUAUGUCAAGUUUUGUCGACCACAACAUAUGGAUCCUUUCAUGUAAUAC
rnacentral:lncRNA from 1 species